AGUCGUAACAAGGUUUCCGUAGGUGAACCUGCGGAAGGAUCAUUAACAAAUCCUGAAAUUGUUUGUGUAUGGGAUUGUUGUAUUGAUUUCAUUUGAACAAGGGGAAUCACUGUAUUCCUCCUAUUCAUUUGAUAUCAUAUGCAUUCCCAUCAUAAAACAAUUACACACGUUCCAUGUUACAAUUCAUUUUGUACAUGAUAACACAUUUCUACGAAUCAUCUAAUUGUCACAUUAUUAAUUUAUUUAUAAAGACUUUUAACAAUGGAUCUCUAGGCUCUUGCAUCGAUGAAGAACGCAGUGAAGUGCGAAAAGUAAUGCGAUUUGCAUGCUCUGUGAGUCAUCGAAUCUUUGAACGCAUAUGGCACCUGCUAACUUUUGUUAGAAGGUAUGCCUGUUUGAGAAUCAUAUUAUAUUUAUUUCUUUUUGUGUUUCUUUGAUAUCAUUAAUUCAUUUUGAUGACUAUCAUUGAGGCAACAAAUUGACACAAUUGGACUUUUAUCAUUAAUCGUCUUGAAUUCUGAAAUACUAUGACUUGUUGAUAGAUAAAAUAGAGAAUGUAUUCUCAUUCAAUAUAUAUAUUUUGACAUGUCAAACAUACACCAACACAAUGAUCUCAAAUCAGGCAAGGCUACCGCUGAACUUAAGCAUAUCAGUAAGCGGAGGAAAAGAAACUAACAAGGAUUCCCUCAGUAACGGCGAGUGAAGUGGGAAGAGCUCAAAUUUUAAAUCCAAGAGUAUUAUUGAUAACUCUUUGAAUUGUAGUUUAUAGAUAUGAAUCAUGGUUGAUGUAUUGAUAUACAAGUCUCUUGGAAUAGAGUAUCACAGAGGGUGAGAAUCCCGUUUGGAUAUUAAUAUCAUUGAUCGAUUGAAUCAUGUCAAAGAGUAGAGUUGUUUGGGAAUGCAGCUCAAAAGGGGUGGUAAAUUCCAUCUAAAGCUAAAUAUUGGCAAGAGACCGAUAGCAAACAAGUACUGUGAAGGAAAGAUGAAAAGCACCUUGAAAAGGGAGUUAAAUAGUGCGUGAAAUUGUUAAAAGGGAAACGAUUGGUACCAGUAUCGUUUUCAUAUUAGUUGAAUAGUCGAGUCAUUAUCGUCUAUGAUUUCUAAUAUGAACGAGUCAAUGACAGUUUGUGAUUUCGCAUGACUCGCUAAAGAAAGAUGACGUUUCUUGACGUUUUAUAGUCUUUAGAAAUUGAGUGCGUCAUGACAGACUGUAUAAAAUAUCCAUGAUAAUCUAUUCAAUAUCAUGUUGUUUGAAACAUUUCAUAAACAGCUUUGUUCUGAUUAUGAGUGUCCAGGGUAACAUUAAUUAUAGCACAUGGACAAUACAUUGACGAAAUGGUUCUAAACGACC
rnacentral:rRNA from 1 species